rnacentral:rRNA from 1 species
ACGAACGCUGGCGGCGGGCUUAACACAUGCAAGUCGAACGGAAAGGCCCUGCUUUUGUGGGGUGCUCGGGUGGCGAACGGGUGAGUAACACGGGAGUAACCUGCCCUUGACUUUGGGGUAACUUCAGGAAACUGGGGCUAAUACCGGAUAGGAGCUCCUGCUGCAUGGUGGGGGUUGGAAAGUUUCGGCGGUUGGGGAUGGACUCGCGGCUUAUCAGCUUGUUGGUGGGGUAGUGGCUUACCAAGGCUUUGACGGGUAGCCGGCCUGAGAGGGUGACCGGCCACAUUGGGACUGAGAUACGGCCCAGACUCCUACGGGAGGCAGCAGUGGGGAAUAUUGCACAAUGGGCGGAAGCCUGAUGCAGCAACGCCGCGUGCGGGAUGACGGCCUUCGGGUUGUAAACCGCUUUCGCCUGUGACGAAGCGUGAGUGACGGUAAUGGGUAAAGAAGCACCGGCUAACUACGUG